UUAAGCGACUAAGCGUACACGGUGGAUGCCCUGGCAGUCAGAGGCGAUGAAGGACGUGCUAAUCUGCGAAAAGCGCCGGCGAGGUGAUAUGAACCUUUGACCCGGCGAUGUCCGAAUGGGGAAACCCAGUGCAAUUCGUUGCACUAUCGUUAACUGAAUACAUAGGUUAACGAGGCGAACCGGGGGAACUGAAACAUCUAAGUACCCCGAGGAAAAGAAAUCAACCGAGAUUCCCCCAGUAGCGGCGAGCGAACGGGGAGCAGCCCAGAGUCUGAAUCAGCUUGUGUGUUAGUGGAACGGUCUGGAAAGUCCGGCGAUACAGGGUGACAGCCCCGUACACGAAAGCACACAGGCUGUGAACUCGAAGAGUAGGGCGGGACACGUGGUAUCCUGUCUGAAUAUGGGGGGACCAUCCUCCAAGGCUAAAUACUCCUGACUGACCGAUAGUGAACCAGUACCGUGAGGGAAAGGCGAAAAGAACCCCGGCGAGGGGAGUGAAAAAGAACCUGAAACCGUGUACGUACAAGCAGUGGGAGCACCUUCGUGGUGUGACUGCGUACCUUUUGUAUAAUGGGUCAGCGACUUAUAUUCUGUAGCAAGGUUAACCGUAUAGGGGAGCCGAAGGGAAACCGAGUCUUAACUGGGCGUUAAGUUGCAGGGUAUAGACCCGAAACCCGGUGAUCUAGCCAUGGGCAGGUUGAAGGUUGGGUAACACUAACUGGAGGACCGAACCGACUAAUGUUGAAAAAUUAGCGGAUGACUUGUGGCUGGGGGUGAAAGGCCAAUCAAACCGGGAGAUAGCUGGUUCUCCCCGAAAGCUAUUUAGGUAGCGCCUCGUGAACUCAUCUUCGGGGGUAGAGCACUGUUUCGGCUAGGGGGCCAUCCCGGCUUACCAACCCGAUGCAAACUACGAAUACCGAAGAAUGUUAUCACGGGAGACACACGGCGGGUGCUAACGUCCGUCGUGAAGAGGGAAACAACCCAGACCGCCAGCUAAGGUCCCAAAGUCAUGGUUAAGUGGGAAACGAUGUGGGAAGGCACAGACAGCCAGGAUGUUGGCUUAGAAGCAGCCAUCAUUUAAAGAAAGCGUAAUAGCUCACUGGUCGAGUCGGCCUGCGCGGAAGAUGUAACGGGGCUAAACCAUGCACCGAAGCUGCGGCAGCGACGCUUAUGCGUUGUUGGGUAGGGGAGCGUUCUGUAAGCCGUUGAAGGUGUGCUGUGAGGCAUGCUGGAGGUAUCAGAAGUGCGAAUGCUGACAUAAGUAACGAUAAAGCGGGUGAAAAGCCCGCUCGCCGGAAGACCAAGGGUUCCUGUCCAACGUUAAUCGGGGCAGGGUGAGUCGACCCCUAAGGCGAGGCCGAAAGGCGUAGUCGAUGGGAAACAGGUUAAUAUUCCUGUACUUGGUGUUACUGCGAAGGGGGGACGGAGAAGGCUAUGUUAGCCGGGCGACGGUUGUCCCGGUUUAAGCAUGUAGGCGGAGGUUCCAGGUAAAUCCGGUACCUUUUAACGCUGAGGUGUGAUGACGAGGCACUACGGUGCUGAAGUAACAAAUGCCCUGCUUCCAGGAAAAGCCUCUAAGCAUCAGGUAACAYSAAAUCGUACCCCAAACCGACACAGGUGGUCAGGUAGAGAAUACCAAGGCGCUUGAGAGAACUCGGGUGAAGGAACUAGGCAAAAUGGUGCCGUAACUUCGGGAGAAGGCACGCUGAUAUGUAGGUGAAGCCCCUGCGGGUGGAGCUGAAAUCAGUCGAAGAUACCAGCUGGCUGCAACUGUUUAUUAAAAACACAGCACUGUGCAAACACGAAAGUGGACGUAUACGGUGUGACGCCUGCCCGGUGCCGGAAGGUUAAUUGAUGGGGUUAGCGGCAACGCGAAGCUCUUGAUCGAAGCCCCGGUAAACGGCGGCCGUAACUAUAACGGUCCUAAGGUAGCGAAAUUCCUUGUCGGGUAAGUUCCGACCUGCACGAAUGGCGUAAUGAUGGCCAGGCUGUCUCCACCCGAGACUCAGUGAAAUUGAACUCGCUGUGAAGAUGCAGUGUACCCGCGGCAAGACGGAAAGACCCCGUGAACCUUUACUAUAGCUUGACACUGAACACUGGUCCUUGAUGUGUAGGAUAGGUGGGAGGCUUUGAAGCGUGGACGCCAGUCUGCGUGGAGCCGACCUUGAAAUACCACCCUUUAAUGGCUGGUGUUCUAACGUAGACCCGUGAUCCGGGUUGCGGACAGUGUCUGGUGGGUAGUUUGACUGGGGCGGUCUCCUCCCAAAGAGUAACGGAGGAGCACGAAGGUUAGCUAAUCCUGGUCGGACAUCAGGAGGUUAGUGCAAUGGCAUAAGCUAGCUUGACUGCGAGAGUGACGGCUCGAGCAGGUGCGAAAGCAGGUCAUAGUGAUCCGGUGGUUCUGAAUGGAAGGGCCAUCGCUCAACGGAUAAAAGGUACUCCGGGGAUAACAGGCUGAUACCGCCCAAGAGUUCAUAUCGACGGCGGUGUUUGGCACCUCGAUGUCGGCUCAUCACAUCCUGGGGCUGAAGUAGGUCCCAAGGGUAUGGCUGUUCGCCAUUUAAAGUGGUACGCGAGCUGGGUUUAGAACGUCGUGAGACAGUUCGGUCCCUAUCUGCCGUGGGCGCUGGAGAAUUGAGGGGGGCUGCUCCUAGUACGAGAGGACCGGAGUGGACGCAUCACUGGUGUUCGGGUUGUCAUGCCAAUGGCACUGCCCGGUAGCUAAAUGCGGAAAAGAUAAGUGCUGAAAGCAUCUAAGCACGAAACUUGCCCCGAGAUGAGUUCUCCCUGACCCUUUAAGGGUCCUGAAGGAACGUUGAAGACUACGACGUUGAUAGGUCGGGUGUGUAAGCGCAGCGAUGCGUUGAGCUAACCGAUACUAAUGAACCGUGAGGCUUAACCUU
rnacentral:rRNA from 1 species